AAGAAGUGACAGAUGAACAGAUUUUAAGGAGCAGACCAGGAGGAAAAUAGGCUGAGAACUGAACCAAGGCAAGGUAGAAGUAGAGAGGGGAACAGAUGAACCGGAGAGGAAGACAAACCACAUUAAGAUCUGGGUUGACAAUGAGCUUGGGGAAUGCAGAAAGAUGUCUGAAGGGUACCUGGGGGCCAUCUGUUUUUUUUGGACAACAUUUUUGAUUUCCCGUUGCCAAGGAUGUAUGCAGGUGUUCAGCAGCUCUUCUAUGCCCUUAUCCUACAUGAGCAAACAAAUGAGAAAACAGACGGGAUACUGAAAUGAAUGUCUUAAUUGGAUAUUCUGUUGGAAUAAAGGAUUAUUGCAAAUGCAUAUUCUGCCACAGUUGAUUUUGAUAACAUUUUUGGUACCCACAUGGUCUUCACAGAUCUAGAGGUAGAAAAUCACCCUGAGGAUGCAUCUGGGAAUUCAGAAUCAUAGAAAACAGAUAACAAAGCAUAUCAAGAAGUAACCCACUUCACUCCCUAACACUAAAGCAGGAUCAAUGUAGCUUACUUGACAGUUACUUCAUGAAGACUUUCUGUGGUAUUUCUCAGC